UACGGAGGAUGCAAGCGUUAUCCGGAAUUAUUGGGCGUAAAGCGUCCGCAGGUGGCUAUGUAAGUCUGCUGUUAAAGAGCGAGGCUCAACCUCAUAAGAGCAGUGGAAACUACAUGGCUAGAGUGCGUUCGGGGCAGAGGGAAUUCCUGGUGUAGCGGUGAAAUGCGUAGAUAUCAGGAAGAACACCGGUGGCGAAAGCGCUCUGCUGGGACGCAACUGACACUGAGGGACGAAAGCUAGGGGAGCGAAUGGG
rnacentral:rRNA from 1 species